AGAGUUUGAUCCUGGCUCAGGAUAAACGCUGGCGGCAUGCCUAAUACAUGCAAGUCGAACGAGAGAAUCUUGCUUGCAAGAGGAUCUAGUGGCGAACGGGUGAGUAACACGUGAACAACCUGCCUUUAAGUUGGGGACAACAGUUGGAAACGACUGCUAAUACCGAAUAACAUAGCACUUCGCAUGAGGAGCUAUUGAAAGAUCCGUUUGGAUUGCUUUUAGAGGGGUUUGCGACGCAUUAGCUAGUUGGUGAGGUAACGGCUCACCGAGGCGACGAUGCGUAGCUGCGCUGAGAGGCGGAACAGCCACAUUGGGACUGAGACACGGCCCAAACUCCUACGGGAGGCAGCAGUAGGGAAUUUUCGGCAAUGGGGGCAACCCUGACCGAGCAAUGCCGCGUGAACGACGAAGGUCUUAGGAUCGUAAAGUUCUGUUGUUAGGAAAGAAUAGUAUGGGUAGGAAAUGAUCUAUAUUUGACGGUACCUAACUAGAAAGCCCCGGCUAACUAUGUGCCAGCAGCCGCGGUAAUACAUAGGGGGCGAGCGUUAUCCGGAAUUAUUGGGCGUAAAGCGUGCGUAGGCGGUUUAUUAAGUCUGGUGUGAAAUCUCGUGGCUUAACCACGAGUGGUCAUUGGAUACUGGUAGACUUGAGUACGGUAGAGGUAAGCGGAAUUCCAAGUGGAGCGGUGAAAUGCGUAGAUAUUUGGAGGAACAUCAGUAGCGAAGGCGGCUUACUGGGCCGGUACUGACGCUGAGGCACGAAAGCGUAGGUAGCAAACAGGAUUAGAUACCCUGGUAGUCUACGCCGUAAACGAUGAGUAUUAAGUGUCGGGGUUACUCGGUACUGCAGUUAACACAAUAAAUACUCCGCCUGGGGAGUACGGUCGCAAGACUGAAACUCAAAGGAAUUGACGGGGACUCGCACAAGCGGUGGAGCAUGCGGUUUAAUUCGAUGCAACGCGAAGAACCUUACCAGGUCUUGACAUACUGUUGUCAGGAUUAGAGAUAAUCCCUUUCUUCGGAACAACAGAUACAGGUGGUGCAUGGUUGUCGUCAGCUCGUGUCGUGAGAUGUUGGGUUAAGUCCCGCAACGAGCGCAACCCUUAUCAUUAGUUGCCAUCACGUAAUGGUGGGCACUCUAAUGAGACCGCCGGUGAUAAACCGGAUGAAGGUGGGGAUGACGUCAAAUCAUCAUGCCCCUUAUGACCUGGGCCACACGCGUGCUACAAUGGCUGGCACAAAGAGUCGCAAUACCGCGAGGUGGAGCCAAUCUCAGAAAACCAGUCUCAGUUCGGAUUGUAGUCUGCAACUCGACUACAUGAAGUUGGAAUCGCUAGUAAUCGUAAAUCAGAAUGUUACGGUGAAUACGUUCUCGAGUCUUGUACACACCGCCCGUCACACCAUGAGAGUUUGUAAUACCCAAAACCGGUGGCCUAACCUUUUAGGAGGGAGCCGACUAAGGUAGGACAGAUGAUUGGGGUGAAGUCGUAACAAGGUAUCCCUACGAGAACGUGGGGAUG
rnacentral:rRNA from 1 species